rnacentral:tRNA from 1 species
GGCUCGGUAGCUUAGUUGGUAAAGCGCUCGUCUAGCAUACAAGAGUCUUGGGUUCAAAUUCCAGUCGAGCAC